GAGUCGUAGGCAGAUUGCAAUUCCUGUGUACGGUGGAAUGCGCAGAAUAUCAGGAGGAACACCGAUGCGAACGCAGAUCUCUGGGCCGUCAACUGACGCUGAGGACGAAAGGGUGGGGAUGAAACAGGCUUAGAUACCCUGGUAGUCCACCCCGUAAACGUUGGGAACUAGUUGUGGGGUCCAUUCCACGGAUUCCGUGACGCACUAACGCAU
rnacentral:rRNA from 1 species